AUGUUCGACAUGUAUACUCCGCUUCUGAUUCUGUGCUACAUGCCUAUUUUGAAAGUUGUAGGGUCCAUCAUGUCGGAGGACUCAACAGUGAUCCAGUAUCCACCUGUUGUUGAGGAGGUAGUUGGCGGCAACAUCACCAUGAACUGCAUUCUGGAGGGGUUGACUUCUUACUGUUAUACUGUCGCCUGGAUAAGACUGCCCAAACAACCCGGGGCGCUGCGAUUCCCCAAGAAAGCCGUUAUCAACACCAGAUCUGAGUAUGAAAUCUUCAACAAUAUAUGCCCAGUGUCCAUUUACAACGUAUCUGUCACCGACUCUGGGAUUUACUACUGUGCUGUCAUAUAUGGCCAGCAGAUCUACUUAGGCAAUGGCACCACAGUGAUUGUUAAAGAUGAAACCAAAGCUCCUCUAACCAUCGAAAUCCUGAAACCGCAGAACAGCUACCAUUCCUCUGUCUCUCUGCUGUGUUUAGUGUCAGGAGUGGUCCCGUCUCAGGUCCACGUGUUCUGGCUCAUAGACGGGAGAGAGGACAGUGGACUUACUGAGUCCACCUGGACAGACAACAGUAAUUCAGCCACAGAGUUCACUAGGAACCAGAUUCUGGUCAAAGCAGAGGAGUGGGACAGAGGAGCAGAAUGCACGUGUGUGGUAGAGUUCGAAGGGCAGUAUAUCAACAAAACCGUGCAACACAAUGACUUCUCCACGAUGUGUUACACCAUAGUGAGUCUCUACAGGGUUCUGGGAAUAGUGUCCGCUCUUCUUCUUCUCCUUACACUGGCUGCACGGGUACAACUAUCAGGCAAGAGCAACAAUUCAGGCAAGCGUAAGAAAACCAACAGAAACCCCCCAAACUAAAGAAGAGGAGGGCUUUGGGAUUCUGUCUUCAUUGUGAAAACUGCAGGAAACCAACAUUCAGAAUUUGAGUGCUUUGAGCGAAUCACAGUGCUUCAUACCAACUAGGAAGACGUUAAGUAUGUAGUACAUUUUCACUGGGCGUCGAAAGGCUAUACAAUAUUUUUGUGUGACUUCUUUUCAAUAUUUUUCCUAUUCACUUUGCUUUUGAUUUCAUUGCAUGUCAGAUAAGCAAUAUGCAGAAAAAAUAAAAUGUGUUAGAAUAGCCUAAUGCUUCCAUAAAGUGAUAUCCUUAAAGUACUGUAGUGGUGAAAUGUGAUUUUUUUCUCAUCUAGUGGCACAGUCAUCUUGUGUCACCAUCUCAAAACAUCCAGUAGAUAUCAGUGUUUACUCAAUCUACGAUCUACCCUUCCUCUCACUUGUGAAUGGCGCAGAAGGAGAUGGCUGCCAUUUUAUAAUCCCGUAACCAAUUGUGCUAUUGUGUAUGCUUUUUUUAGCUAUUUGUAACUUUUUAAAAGGUAAGCAUUUCACUGUAAGGUCUACACCUGUUGUAUUCGGCGCAUGUGACAAAUACAAUUUGAUUUGAGAUAGGCUGGAGCCUAUCUUUUUUAAACUAUUCUAAAACAUCAGGUAGGAAACUCCAUUAACCAAGUUAUCUGCAUCAACAUUAAAACAAACUAGCCAUCAUUUUUUACAAAAUUAUUAUUGCUGUGAUGGGUCUACAUUGCUUUAUGCUGUAUCAUAGUGUAAAUGUUUAAUUGUGUUUUUUACAGUUUACUAAAAUCAGUGUAACUUUUUAUUUAACAAAAAUGACUACUGUACUUUGUAUUGAGAGUAUUAACAUUUCAUUACCUAAAUUGUAAUACUUUUGUUCAGUCUUGCCAUUACUUACCAUGACUUAAUCCAAACACAUAAUUUUCAUUAAUUAGCAAGGGUGCUUUAUUUUCCAUUCAGGACUAAGCAGGAGCAUAACUAUUUUCCAGCCCUUUAAAAUAAUGUUGUUGUGGAAAAUGAACUGUUACAAUAAUAACAGUACAUUCCAUCUAUUGUCUGAGUUUCAUUGAUAUCGUAAAAGCUGCUGAGGUUAGGUUAAGUGAUAGCUGAUAGCAUAUAACGAAAGUAAAAAGGUUCAUCUCUCAUAAUGUGCUAUUGGGUGAAAAAAAGCCUGCAAAUAGAAUUUGCUAGUGGUUUGUUAUAAGCAAGGAACAGAUUUGACCAAAGCUGUGUCUGCCCAUAGGCAUAUCAUACUGAGAAUACCACACCUCGCAGAGAGAGCGAGAGACAGACUGAGUGUGUGUGUGCAGGAGAGCGUUAGGCAGCUAAAGUUUAAGCUAUUGUGGUAUGGUGGUCAGCUUCUGUUCUAAAGGCUACAGUCCUGCACCUGUCACACUUUCUCAUAUGUUACACAAUCUGAAGUCUGUGCAGGAUCAAACAACUCACAAAAACAGUGAGCCUUCUCAUUUUGGUCAGAGAAACGAGCUGUACAGAGUUCGUCAAAGUGCCUUUCAGAUUGAGAAUUUGAAUGUAUUUUUUUAGCAUUCAAGCAAAGUUUUUAAACAUGUGUUCAAAAAAACAUAGGCAGUGUUGGCACCAACAGAUCCAGGAAAAUUGGAAAUAAGAUAAGAGGUAAUUGAAGAGGUAAUAAAAUGAAAACAAAGAAAAAACCAAGUCAUUCAUUUACAAAUAAUCCCUGAGAGUGACACAGGAUAGCUAAGACCAUUUAUUUCCAAUGUGGUCCUCAGUGUAGGACAAAACCAGGACAAGAUACAAAUCUGUUGUUCUGCCCCUGAACAAGGCAGUUAACCCACUGUUCCUAGGCCGUCAUUGAAAAUAACAAUUUGUUCUUAACUGACCUAGUUAAAUAAAGGUAAAACAAAAAUAAAAAAUACACAGGAAAACACAUGGGCCUAUAAGCAGCCAACUAGCCUACACCACAAAACAUACAUCAUCAAUAUAAAACUCAAGACUAUUUCAGUACUUUUCCUGUGUAGGCUUGUACACGUUUUCCAAUGGAAGGGCUCUAACCUGACCGUUGAAAACAUUUUAGGACUGGGACAGUUUAAUGACUAUUGGGAGGCUAUUCCAGAGUUGAAUUACAACAUAAAAGAAAGAGCUCUGUGCCGCGCUAUUGGCUCUGGGCACUUUGCAAUUGCGGACACUUGCUCUUGCUUUAUACACAAAUAUAUACAUAAUAAUCUGAAAACUCUUACGCAAUUUCUUCUUCAGAAUAUUAUUGGAUAAUUGUAUUUGGGCGUCUCCCAAGCUGGAUGUGGUCCAAAGUCGCAUACUGGACUUCCUGUGGAACGAUCAACACCAGGGAGUUCAUUAUAGGAGCAUUGUUUCUCAAGGAAUCAGAAAUAGGUAUAGCUGUUGCUUUAAAUUCAAAAAUGCUUUAAUACUUCAUGUGGACUGAAUUGGGGCAGCAAUACUGCAAAUGUAAACCAGGGUCUCAUAUGUGACUAUUCACACCAUAGAAAGGAUAGUCAGUCAAUCUCAAUCAAUACAUUCACAAUGAAGAUAACUGAGUAAUAAUCUAAAACAAUCAUUCUAAGGGUGAGAGUAGGUUUAGCCUCAAUUCAUUAGAGUUUGUUUACAAAUAUAAUCCAUAUAAAAAUGCCACUCUUUAUUUACACAAACCACAAACAGGUAUAUUGCCAAUAAGUACUGUAAUUACACUACACUUACCAAGUAAUACGCCAGUAUGAGACAUGAGAAAUUUUCAGAGCAGUAUGUUCGGAUCAUAACACUACGGCCAGGCACCACACCCGAAUAGGGUAUCCCCCCUUAAUCAUAUCACAAUAAACUUUUACCAGUUGAAUGUGGACACAAAUAAGCGUUUCUGUUUUACAACUUUUCUGAAAUAUUGUAUACAAAUAUGCAAACUAAGUGGUAACUCAUUAAAUAUGCUCAUAUUUGCAUAUCACGCAAAUACAUUUUUCUGGACACUGGAUAAAGUCAGCCUAAAUAUUUUGGUUUCAUUUUGUUAGGACAAUCCAGGACCGGACUUACACACGUCCGAUUGUAGAUAAAUACUUUCUUACAUAUUUCUAUUUGUGAAAUACUAAAGAAAGUGACAUAAAAAGCAUUUUUGGUAGAUUUUUCAGAAGAAAAUGUCAUCUAGAAUUAACAUUUGACAACAUAUUAACAAUCCGGAGAAUACUUCUAAGGAUAACAGGCACAAUUUGGUGAAUGCAGAUGCUUCUGAGGAUGAGAAAAAUGAAUUGGCGGGUAGGAAGAGUCUGACUUUUGGGAAAUGGCAUUUAAAGACAAGGUCACUGAAAUUUAGACUACCAAUUUAGACCCAAUCACCCUCUUGUCCAGUUUGCAAUAUUCUCUGUGAAAUGGGCUUUGAAAUGAUGUGUGAUUCAAUGUAGUGAGCUUUGCAAUUAUGUAUGUAUAUGUCUAUUUAAAAAUGCGGUAGUAUGAUAAAUUAAUAAAAAUAUACAUUUAUCAACUUUUUGACAUUUUUACUUUUUGAAAAUAAUGGACCAAAAUACCAAAAAUUCUCUAAAUUGUAUAUGCAAAAAUGUAAUUUUAGCCUGUGGUGCCUGGCCUUACAGUGUUUUUUCAAUUUGGAUACACUAUGGGCCAGUUCCCCAGACACAUAUUAAGCCUACUUCUGGACUGAAAAACAAUCUCCAUAGAAAAUGUUUUUAAGUCAAAGACUAUUGGCUUAGUCGAUAUCCAGGAUUGGAAACCAACCCCAAGAGUUAAAUUGGGCCGAAAUGGUGAUUUAAAAGUUCUACCUGAGAAAAUCUGAUAGCACGGCAAUGGAUUAUAAAAGUAUGCAAUAUAAAAAAACAUUUGGCACCUUCACCAAAAAUUCUGAACCAAAUACAAUAGCUACUUACCGAGAUGGAUGAUCUAACUGCCUUUCUUGCUUCUCCAAGUCUCCCUGCAAACGUUACAAGUCAGAUCAUGACAAACACCAAUACAGCCAUGACAUCCCCGAUAAACUAGUGUACUUCAAAAUGUUUUGGAAUCCUUCAAUCAACCAACCCUGCAAACUCAGUCAAGAGAUGCUGUGAGAACUAACGGUGUCUCAAAGUGCGCCAAUGGCACCCCAUUUACUUCUCUAUGAAAUAUUUUGAUCUCAUCUCUCACACUCAAAUGUAAAACAGAGUCCCCUAAAAAAUGUCCCAACUCCUCAUUCACAGCAGAAAUUUGGGGAACAAAAAAAAUGUAAGCUCAUUUAUUCAAUCUAUUUCAA
ensembl:lncRNA uncharacterized LOC115173642